rnacentral:lncRNA from 1 species
GUUGAUUUGAUGCAAGAACUGAUUCCAGAAGAAUUAAUUCUUGCAAUCGACCGUAUGAAAUGAAAACAAACCAAAAAUCAAAAUCAAAAUCAAUGAAUUAGCUCUUUAUUUAUAUAUAAACUCUAACAAAGAUAACGUAACAAAGAAUCACAUAUUACAUCACAUAACAGGUGCUAACAACACUCUCCUUUUAACAUCCGCUAUCUUAAUGAAAUUUACGAAGGUGUCACAAGUUUAGGAAUGACAAUGGGUUUCUAUGAAGUGGUGGAACUUUCCAGAUGGCAGAAUGACGUAUGGAAGAAAAUCAAAACGGGCAUACUUCAAGCAAUGUAGAUGAACUACUUGUGAUAAUAAAAUGCUAGGACUGUAUAAACAGUCUGCACAAUAGCGAGAACAGACACCAGCGUUGCAGGGAAGUUGUAAUCGUGGUUCAUAAAUCUUAUAACUUGUUCUCGAUGGUAUAUGAUCGAAGUUAUAACUGAUUUCAACAUUCGUUUAAUGUUAAAUGCCCGAGAGUAAUUGUUGAUGUCAUCAACCAUUUGAAUAUAAGUACUGGAAUCAACUACCUUAUGGUCAAUUCCAAGUGCUAUUUUGCGGAAAAACUCCAUCAGCUCUUGGUUGCUCAUCUUGAGAUUAUCCACAAUGAUUUUCUUGUCUUUGAGAAGUUGGACAUCAUCUGCAGAACAGAUCAGAUCGUUGAAAAUCAAAGCAGCCCAAGUAAAUUUGCCGCAGGAAACAAUUUUGCUUGUGUUCUGUUGGCUCUCAUCCUCGUCUUCGUAUCUAGGUGCAAGACGGGAAGCAUAUUUGUACAUUUUAUGAUGCUCCCAAGCAAUAAGAUUACACCACUUGGCUUUUGUCGUUUUUGUGAUAUGCAGUUGUUUAAUUUCAAGAGUCUCCUUUUCAAACUUAAAGUAAAAGUCCAAACCUUUCAAUUCCAUCUCUUGGUCCAAAUCCAAGCGAUGAAAAUUCGCACGCUGGAUGCUAAUCAAGAUCUCAGAAAAUAUAUAACGAAUUAAAAUUUUCAAGACAAAGGUAGCCAUAGUUAGCAUAGUACUCGGCACAACAUGCUGUUUCUCAGGGAGUUUCACUUUUAUGGUAACCCCUGCAGUUAGGAGUCUCUGAGCACAGUACUCCAGUUUAAGUUGUUUCUGCUGGGUCUGAGUAGCAUCCAUAUUGCCCAGCGCAACAUAUUGUUCCUCCGUUCUAUGGGUACUCUCACAUGUCUUGAUGUUAACGAAGAAGUGGACAAGAUCAAGAAUGUGAGGGGCAUCGACACACGGUAUCUGAAGAUCAGGAGAGUAUCCUAAGACAGCAAGGGCAAGAUUGUUCAUUUUCUUCACCCUCUCUUCCGUCUUCCUCUGUUCCUCUCGAGGAGAAUAGGGAAGAGAGUCAUCUGGUUCAAACACAUAUGGAAAAAGUGUUUGGGACAACUUAUGAAGAACCAAAAAGGGGAUCUGAUUCUCCAACAACAUUAGAUCAGACAGAACAUCAUCGUCUUUCAGCACUUCAGCUGCGGGACUAGGUGGAAAUAAACGGCUAGGAAGUUGAGAAUCCAAUCCCUUUGAUAUGAGAAGCUCCAACAGAAAACAUCCAUCCACUAACAUAAUUUUAGCGAGUUCAUGUCGUUCGAGUUUAAGGUCUCCCAGGUAGCAUUCACGAACCUCUUUAUCUAAUUCCCAAACGGCAUCACUGCAUUGCUCCAAGCUUUUAUCGGCUCGGUUAAGAAGAGACAACAUGCAGCGUAGUUUGACCUCUUCCAUAAGAAAAAGGUCUUCUCUCCUCCCCCUAAAUCUUGGUCCGAUCGACACCUUCCUUGGAAUGUAAGCAUCCUCGUUCCAUUUUUUAAGUCCUUCCGGAACCACUGAAAUGCUGCUUGAUUGACAAUAAUCAUAGUCUACAGAUGUUAGCGAUGUCUCUAUAGAUUUUAACCACUCACUUUUCGUUGUUAGAUUGGCCAUUGGCCUUUACUUUACAAUUUUUUUUAAUUUUUUUUUUUUUUUGGUAUAUCACAGAAGGAAUUGCAAGCUUGUUUAGAGAAUACCAAAUGACUAUGACUACGUAUAUAUUCAAUUUUUUAUAGGCAGUACCUCGUCCACACCUACACCCAGCCUAAGUUGAUCGAGUUCAAGAAUUCGGGUUUUUCCCUUAUAUAUUUCCAAAGUUGAUUGAGUUCGAGAAUUCGACUAAUUUACUCUUUUGUGUUUUUAAUUGGGUGUAAAUUAGCAGUCCCAUAUAUAUAAGAUAUGCUUUCUUGUAAAAAUGACUCAAUCUUGAUCAAUUGUUUUUAUG